UUGAACGUCGGAUUAAUUGUAAGUUGAGGUGGGGCCCACACGUCAAGAUUUUUUUUGGGACAUGUGACAAAUUAUAUGAAUCACAUAUGUGAAGUUAAACACAACUCAAGAAGGACCCUUGGGCCAAAUCAAAGUGGAAGUCCUCCAAACGAAUAUUUUUAAGAAAACGUUUUCGGGUAACCUGACUUUGGGGGGCAAAAACGAUAUUAUAAGUUUGGAAUUUGGAAAAGUACCAAGAAAUAGAAGUUGUAGAUAAUUGAAUUAGCUUUCCAUCCAUAGGUCGUGGGUUCCCAGGUGACGUCGGUACAAGGAGAUAUGGACGUUUUAAGGCAGAAAGGUCAGUGGGCUAGGCCCAAUCCGAGCCCAACCGGGUUAGGCCCAUUACCCAUGUCCUUAUAAGUGCCAAUUUCGGCCUUCUUCAUCAUUUUAACACCAGGAACAACCAGAAAAUUCUGGAAAGAGAGAGAGGAGCUUUGGAGAGAAAAAAAAAACAAUUUUGACCAAAAUCCGAGCCCCGAAUCCCGAAGCCCAUGAAGGGAAAAGUGUUGUACGCUACGUUGUCUUCAAUUUGAGCUAAAAAUCAACCAAAGAGGAGAGUGAUGACGUGGUGGCUGCCUACUUAAGAUUCGGAGUGAAACGGGAUUUGAGUUUUGGCGAACGUAAGACGCAUAUAAGGUACCGACGACAGGUUUGCUGAGCCGUCCGCUUAGGAUCUUAUUCUCCUAUUUUGGAGCGCUCUCUUAUCCAGAGCCCAUCUUUUGGUAUAGUCUGUCACUACUGUAUAUAUAUA